ACGACUCUCGGCAACGGAUAUCUCGGCUCUUGCAUCGAUGAAGAACGCAGC
rnacentral:rRNA from 1 species